rnacentral:rRNA from 1 species
UACGUAGGGUGCAAGCGUUAUCCGGAAUUAUUGGGCGUAAAGAGCUCGUAGGCGGUUUGUCGCGUCUGCCGUGAAAGUCCGGGGCUUAACCCCGGAUCUGCGGUGGGUACGGGCAGACUAGAGUGCAGUAGGGGAGACUGGAAUUCCUGGUGUAGUGGUGAAAUGCGCAGAUAUCAGGAGGAACACCGAUGGCGAAGGCAGGUCUCUGGGCUGUAACUGACGCUGAGGAGCGAAAGCAUGGGGAGCGAACAGG